rnacentral:misc_RNA from 1 species
GGUAGGAUCAUUAGUGUGAUUAUUUUACCCCGAAUUAUUGUUUUGGGUGAAAUUUGUUCAUGUGAAGCGCCGAUUCUUGUGGUUGUGUGAUGUGAUGUGAUGUGUGUUAGUGUGUUUGUUUUAACAUUCAUCCAUACAUUUAUUCAUUCAUUCGUCCAUUCAUUCAACUCAAGGUCGGUUAAUUUAACCACAAAAGUUUGAAAGUCAAAUUCAAAACUGUCAGCAAGGGAUCAUUUGGCUCUCGUAUCGAUGAAGAACGCAGCGAGGUGCGAAAAGUGGCGCGAAACGCACAACCUGUGAGACGUCGAGUUUUUGAACGCAAAAUGCGCCCACGGGGCAACCUGUGGGUGUGUCUGUCUGGGUGUUGUCAGCAUGUUAUUGCUUGUGUAGGCUUUUGUCUACGCUUGCAUUUUUGCGAAAUCAUUUGUGUGAGUGCGCUGUUGUAUCUUAUGAUGAGUUACAUCUGCAGUGUUAAUUUCAUAGUGUUUUGUAAUGAAGAACUUGCAUGCUUUGGAUCACAAUUCAUGUAUCAUCAUAGCAGACCCGAUCGGCAGACCUUGGUCUGUUGAUCAACAAGGAUGCGGGCUUGAAGAUCGGAUUAUUAAUUUAAUUAUCCCUGUUCUCACGGCCGUCAUCCGACCUUUUCACCUCAGAUCAGAUGAGAUCACCCGCUGAACUUAAGCAUAUCACUAAGCGGAGGAAGAGAAACUAACAAGGAUUCCCUCAGUAACUGCGAGUGAACCGGGAACAGUCCAAACUUGAAAUCUUUGCCAAGCUGGCAACGAGUUGUAGUUUGAAGCCUAGAUGCGCGCAACACAGUGCAAUUCAUUGCAAUGAUGUGUAAUGUCAUCUGAUACCCAACAAAUGGAGAGAAGUUGGCCCCGGAGGGUGAGAGCCCCGUACGGUAUCAAGUUGUGUUGUCUGCACUAGGCAAAGAGUCGGGUUGUUUGAGAUUGCAGUCCAAAGCGGGUGGUAAACUCCAUCUAAGGCUAAAUAUUGACGAGAGACCGAUAGCGAACAAGUACCGCGAGGGAAAAUUGAAAAGAACUUUGAAAAGAGAGUUAAAAGUGCGUGAAAUUGCUGACAGGGAAGCGAUUAGGCCGGCAGUGCUGGGCGUCUCUGGUUGUUGGAGUCUUUUUGGCCACCUGUGGCCAAUCAGACUUUGGCUUUCUUGGUGUCCUGACAGCCACGCACUUUGGGCGACUUACAGAUUUGUCCUGAGUGCGCCUCUGGCUGAGCCAACCUAAACGACCCGUCUUGAAACACGGACCAAGGAGUCUAUCAAGUGUGCGAGUGCAACAGUUUUACACUGGUCCGCACAGCGAAAGCAAACAUCACACACGUGUCCACCGGUACAUGCCGUAUCGUCCGAGUGCCAGGCCUUUCGGCCAAACGCAUCGGGACAGAGCACACUUGAUGGGACCCGAAAGAUGGUGAACUAUGCCUGGGUAGGGUGAAGUCAGGGGAAACCCUGAUGGAGGCUCGCAGCGAUUCUGACGUGCAAAUCGAUCGUCAAACCUGGGUAUAGGGGCGAAAGACCAAUCGAACCAUCUAGUAGCUGGUUCCACU